GCUUUGGUGGCCUAGUGGUUAGAGCGUCCGCUUCGGAUGUGGGAGGUCGUGGGUUCGAACCAAAGACUUAUAAAA